CGAUGAAGAACGUAGCGAAAUGCGAUACUUGGUGUGAAUUGCAGAAUCCCGUGAACCAUCGAGUCUUUGAACGCAAGUUGCGCCCGAAGCCAAUAGGCCGAGGGCACGUCUGGCUGGGUGUCACACAAAGUCGCCCCAACCCCGACGCCGGUCGCACGGCGCCGCGGGGGGCGGACGCUGGCCUCCCGUGAGCCCCGCCUCGCGGAUGGCCGAAAUAAGAGCUCCCGGUGCGGCGAGCACCACGGCGCACGGUGGUUGAGUCGAGUCGAGACGAUCGUCAUCGCUCCGGCCCGUUCGUGCGUGCCCCCGCCCCCUAACCUAAGAGAGGAGCUCCUCCUCCGAGACCCUACCGCGGCCGUCCAUCCCCCCUCACCCCACCUAACCUAACCUGAGGCGGGAGGGAGGGAGGACGGACGGACGCCUUCGACGCGACCUCAGCUCAGGCGGGGCUACCCGCUGAGUUUAAGCAUAUCAAUAAGCGGAGGAAAAGAAA
rnacentral:rRNA from 1 species